GUCAGUAAAAUGUUUAGCCAUGGACAUUUAUUGAUGUGUCAAGGAUGACAAGUGCAGUACAACAAGUGCAGACCAGGUUCACAUACUGUUAACCAGGCAACAAACCUGGUUAACAGGUUUGCUGCCUACUGUCCCUUUGCUAGGGCCUACAGAUAUAGGAUCUUAAUUUGAUCACCCUGUUGCAGGAAAAGUAAAACUUGUAGUGUCAUUGAGGUUUAAAAAGGCUGCUGAAGUUUGUAAUUUCCUCUGAAAUUUCAGACUUGAUUUUCCCUUACGGAAAAUGUAUCAACCCCUACAAAAUGGCCAUUAAUUAUAAUCCACAUAAUAGUUCACAUUUCCUGUUGCUGCAGGAUUAUUUUCCUGCUGUAGCAAACUGUCUCAAAUUAAGAUCCUACAUCUGUACAUCUGUUUUAUUCUCCCAAAUGCUUGUUGAAAUAUGUAAUGGUAUUUCAACAAAGAUUUUAUGAAAACAGCAUUUGGAUUAUACUCAGUCUCUCGAAUGAUUAAAGACAGGAUAUUCUCAAGAAAAUGGACUAAUACACUGCAUUCUAUCUAGAAAUUCAAAUCUAUAUCAGUACAUGCUACCUACACCGAUAACCAAAUGAGGUCGUUUCAGAGAUCUUACCUAUCAAACACAAGAACAUUAAUAGUACACUGAAUACAAAUACAUACGGUAUGUUUACAUACUGUACAUCACAAUUACCACUAUAGAAAUCCAUAUUCCCUGACAUUUCUGAGUUGCAGCUAGUGAAUUGUUCUGAAGUCCCUGGGAUAUUGUGUUUGUUAUGUCCCUGUGUAGGGAGGCCUCAUAGGGAGAAGUGGAGAUGGCUGUGUGGAGCCCUGGUGUGAUGGAACAGACCUGGUAGCGUCCCGGCAGCUCCCCGGCAGAGCUGUCACUUCCCUCCCCUGUUACAGGUGCUCCACACAGGGGAACUGGCAGCCCUGACGGACGCCUCCUCCCAAGGAUUUAUGGGAAAUGACAGCUCCAGCUAAAUAAAGCCAGAGAGUGGCGAGGGAGGGAAGGACACGGAACUUCCAAACGACCAGCACACAGGGGCUGACACUAUCUGGAAUUUAUUUCCCAAGCUCUGACUGGCAAUUUAGUUCCAAAAUGUGCUAUUCGUACUGUAGGCCUUAGAAACAGAGCAGAGUGGAGCCCCCAGCCCCGGCCUUCUCCUACACACCUCUGUGUUUGUAGGUAAUGGUCUACCAGGUCUUUUUUCCUCUGUGUUUGUGGGUAAUGUUCUACCAGGUCUCUUUUCCUCUGUGUUUGUGGGUACUGGUCUACCAAGUCUUUUUUCCUCUGUGUUUGUGGGUAAUGUUCUACCAGGUCUCUUUUCCUCGGUGUUUGUGGGUAAUGUUCUACCAGGUCUUUUUUCCUCUGUGUUUGUGGGUAAUGUUCUACCAGGUCUUUUUUCCUCUGUGUUUGUGGGUAAUGUUCUACCAGGUCUCUUUUCCUCUGUGUUUGUGGGUAAUGUUCUACCAGGUCUUUUUUCCUCUGUGUUUGUGGGUAAUGUUCUACCAGGUCUUUUUUCCUCUGUGUUUGUGGGUAGUGUUCUACCAGGUCUUUUUUCCUCUGUGUUUGUGGGUAAUGUUCUACCAGGUCUCUUUUCCUCUGUGUUUGUGGGUAAUGGUCUACCAGGUCUUUUUUCCUCUGUGUUUGUGGGUAGUGUUCUACCAAGUCUUUUUUCCUCUGUGUUUGUGGGUAAUGUUCUACCGGGUCUUUUUUCCUCUGUGUUUGUGGGUAGUGUUCUACCAGGUCUUUUUUCCUCUGUGUUUGUG
ensembl:lncRNA